UACGUAGGUGGCAAGCGUUGUCCGGAUUUACUGGGCGUAAAGCGUGUGUAGGCGGACCUUUAAGUAGAAAGUGAAAGGUUGGUGCUCAACACCAACAUUGCUCUCUAUACUGGAGGUCUUGAGUGUCGGAGAGGAAGAUGGAACUGCACGUGUAGCGGUGAAAUGCGUUGAGAUGUGCAGGAACACCAAUGGCGAAGGCAGCCCCCUGGGCUAACACUGACGCUCAUGCACGAAAGCGUGGGGAGCAAACAGG
rnacentral:rRNA from 1 species